CUUCCGAGUAGCUGGGACUAUAGGUGCCCGCCACCACGCCAGGCUAAUUUUUUGUAUUUUUAGUAGAGAUGGGGUUUCACCGUGUUAGCCAGGAUGGUCUCGAUCUUCUGACCUCGUGAUCCGCCCGCCUCGGCCUCCCAAAGUGCUAGGAUUACAGGCGUGAGCCACCGCGCCCGGCAGCAAAUUUUAAGUAUUGAUGGAUGGUUGGGUGACAUGGACUCCAGUAUGUGCCAUGAAGGAUACGAAGAUGAAGCUGUCAUGAACUCUGCUCUCGAGAAGCUACUGUCAAACCUUCUCAAUGUGAACACCACAAGGAUGAAGACCUUUAUAAUGAUCCAUCUCCACUUAAUUAAGAAUAAAUAUUUUUUCUCUUACUCAUGAUUUUAUUAAUGGUAUUUUCUUUUCUCUAGCUUACUUUAUUAUAAAAAUACAGUAUAUAAUACAUAUAGCACACAAAAUAUGUGUUGAUCGACUAUUUAUGUUAUUGAUAAGGCUUCCGGUCAAAAGUAGGCUAAUAGUAGCUACAUUUUUUGGCAAAUCAAAGGCUAAUUACUUGGAUCUGAUCACUAUACAUUAUGUAUAUCACAACAUCACUAUGUGCCCCAUAAAUAUGUACAAUUAUUGUGUUUAUUUAAAAUUUGGAAAAUAAAAAGUUACAAAACAUUUUUUUAAAAUUUAAAAUUUAAAA
rnacentral:lncRNA from 1 species